rnacentral:rRNA from 1 species
UACAGAGGGUGCGAGCGUUAAUCGGAAUUACUGGGCGUAAAGCGUGCGCAGGCGGUUGUGCAAGACAGAUGUGAAAUCCCCGGGCUUAACCUGGGAACUGCAUUUGUGACUGCAAGGCUGGAGUGCGGCAGAGGGGGAUGGAAUUCCGCGUGUAGCAGUGAAAUGCGUAGAUAUGCGGAGGAACACCGAUGGCGAAGGCAAUCCCCUGGGCCUGCACUGACGCUCAUGCACGAAAGCGUGGGGAGCAAACAGG